rnacentral:rRNA from 1 species
CAGUAGCCGCGGGAACACGUAGGGUGCAAGCGUUAAUCGGAAUUACUGGGCGUAAAGCGUGCGCAGGCGGUUUUGUAAGACAGAGGUGAAAUCCCCGGGCUCAACCUGGGAACUGCCUUUGUGACUGCAAGGCUAGAGUACGGCAGAGGGGGAUGGAAUUCCGCGUGUAGCAGUGAAAUGCGUAGAUAUGCGGAGGAACACCGAUGGCGAAGGCAAUCCCCUGGGCCUGUACUGACGCUCAUGCACGAAAGCGUGGGGAGCAAACAGGAUUAGAUACCCCAGUAGUCUCUGUCUCUUAUAC